GAGACUUGCCUUACAAUGACUAA
rnacentral:snRNA from 1 species